AAUGAACGUUGGCGGCAUGGAUUAGGCAUGCAAGUCGAGCGGGCGUAGCAAUACGUCAGCGGCGUAAGGGACAGGAACACGUAGAUUACCUGCCCUCGGGUCUGGGAUAGCCACGGGAAACUGUGGGUAAUACCAGAUGAUAUCUCCGGAUCAAAGGUGUGAUUCCGCCCGAGGAUGGGUCUGCGUCCUAUUAGCUAGUUGGUGAGGUAAUGGCUCACCAAGGCGAUGAUGGGUAGCAGGUGUGAGAGCACGACCUGCGUCAUUGGGACUGAGACACUGCCCAGACACCUGCGGGUGGCUGCAGUCGAGAAUUUUUGGCAAUGGGCGAAAGCCUGACCAAGCGAUGCCGCGUGCGGGAUGAAGGCCUUCGGGUUGUAAACCGCUGUCAGUGGGGAGGAAAGCUUUGUGAAGAGCAAGGCUUGACCUAUCCGCAGAGGAAGUGUGGGCUAAGUUCGUGCCAGCAGCCGCAGUAAGAC
rnacentral:rRNA from 1 species